CCAAAUCUUGCCAGUGGACGUCGUGCGGUGCUCGCAGCGAGCGCUGUUCUCUGUCUCCAUCCUUUUUCCGAGCCUGCGCGGGCUGAGACACCAGCGCUUCCAGUUACCCUUUCAGGAAAGAGCAACCGUGAAGGCAACUAGAGAAGGCGACGAGGCUGUUGACGGUACUGAGACACGGCACCAAGGCCGCAGAUCCACGUAAGGGUGUGAUGUGGCUGGUGGCACUUGCAGAAGAAGAGCAGAAUUCAUCCGUGCCCUUGGAAGGCUUUCUUUGCCCAAGUGCUGUUACAAAAAACUGAAUUAAGGAUGUAUUGAGCCAAAUACAGUGUUUAAUUUUUUGUUAAAGCUACCUCUAUUAAGGGAUGAUUUAAAUACAAAAAAUGAAACCUCUGUAAAUAUACCUUUUGAUAAGUUUUGCCAAAUAUAUGCAUCCAUGUAACCAGGACCAUAGUGAAACUCUACAACGUUUCCGUCACUGAAAAUAUUUCUGACGCUCCUUCCCAUGAAGUCUCAAAUACUCCCAUCCCAGGCAACCUCUGUUCCUCUCUAUCCCUGUGGAGAUUUCUUAAUUUCGUCUAAAUGAAAAGCAUGUACUUGUUUGUGGUUUGUUCACACAGUAUAUUUUUGCUACUUGUCUACAGUGUGUGAAUCAGUGGUGGGUAUGUUUGUAUCAUUGAAAAGUUAUUUUUUAAUAUGACUGUAACACUUUUUCCAACCAUUUGUCUGUUGAUGAACAUGUGAAUAUUUCCAAUUUUUUACUGUUGUGAAUAAAACUGGUAGGAGCACUUAG